UGCCGCCGAUAACUGGUCAAUUUUUCUUUUUCAUUUUUCCUUAACUUGUCGCGAUCUGAUGAAAAUCCAAAUAAUCCAAAUCGAUCUGAAAAUCCCCCAAAUCGAUCCCCAAAUUCGCUCCAGCUCGUCGCUCAUCGUCACUCAUCGUCGCUCCUCCGCCGUCUGUCAGCCACAGCAACCGCCUCUGGUCGUCUCCUCGCCGCCAACCGCGCGCCUCCUCGCCGCCAACAGCAGCAACGCCGUCCGUCAGCAGUAGCGCCGCCGCCGACGCAUUUCGCCUCGCCACCGGCGACAUUGACGAGGCGGAGGCCGGGAACUGGAUCACUAUUGUACAUGGUAUCAAAUUCCGAAGGUGAAGAUGUACAAUCCUUGGACUGGAUAACAAGAUUAAAAAUUGCAAUUGGGACUGCAGAAGCUUUGUCAUACUUAAACCAUGAAUGCUAUCCUCCCCUUAUUCACAGGUAUCAUAAUAUUUCUUAUGCACUACUAUCACUAUAACGUUUUCUAUACUGAAAAAGGUUAGGCCUUGAAUAU